rnacentral:lncRNA from 1 species
GUUCUUAGUGUUUGCAGCGUGGAGUUCACACCCCUGGGGACCUGGGGGCCGAGCUGUGAUUUCCUAGGAAGACAAGUGGCAGCUGACAGCGUGGGCAAGGCUGCCCACAUGUACCUCGCCACAACAGGAAGGGCUGAGACCCCCACCUCGGCUGGGAGCACGAGGAACCUGACGGGAUGCGGCAGAGCCGGCCGUGGGGUGAUGCCAGCAUGGGCAGGACCCACCUGAGCUGAGGAGGCAGUAGAACGAGGGAGGAGGAGAGGCCCCAGGUGAACGGAGGGGCUUGUCCAGGCCAGCAGCAUCACUGGAGCCCAGGGCAGGGUCAGCAGUGCUGGCCGUGGGGCCCUCUCUCAGCCAGGACCAAGGACAGCAG